UAUGUACUCCCUCCGUUCAGAAUUACUUGUCUCAGAAAUGGAUGUAUCUAGAACUAAAAUACAUCUAGAUACAUCUAUUUCUGCGACAAGUAAUUCCGAACGGAGGGAGUACAUC
rnacentral:pre_miRNA from 1 species